rnacentral:rRNA from 1 species
GACGAACGCUGGCGGCGUGCUUAACACAUGCAAGUCGAACGGAAAGGCCCUGCUUUUGUGGGGUGCUCGAGCGGCGAACGGGUGAGUAACACGUGAGUAACCUGCCCUUGACUUUGGGAUAACUUCAGGAAACUGGGGCUAAUACCGGAUAGGAGCUCCUGCUGCAUGGUGGGGGUUGGAAAGUUUCGGCGGUUGGGGAUGGACUCGCGGCUUAUCAGCUUGUUGGUGGGGUAGUGGCUUACCAAGGCUUUGACGGGUAGCCGGCCUGAGAGGGUGACCGGCCACAUUGGGACUGAGAUACGGCCCAGACUCCUACGGGAGGCAGCAGUGGGGAAUAUUGCACAAUGGGCGGAAGCCGGAUGCAGCAACGCCGCGUGCGGGAUGACGGCCUUCGGGUUGUAAACCGCUUUCGCCUGUGACGAAGCGUGAGUGACGGUAAUGGGUAAAGAAGCACCGGCUAACUACGUG